rnacentral:rRNA from 1 species
UACAGAGGCCUCGAGCGUUAGGCGGAAUCACUGGGCUUAAAGCGUGUGUAGGCGGAGUGCUAAGUACCUUGUGAAAUCCCACGGCUUAACCGUGGAAUUGCUUGGUAUACUGGCAUUCUUGAGCCAUCUAGGGGCGAGCGGAACAGACGGUGGAGCGGUGAAAUGCGUAGAUAUCGUCUGGAACGCCAACGGUGAAAACAGCUCGCUGGGGGAUGUGCUGACGCUGAGACACGAAAGCCAGGGGAGCAAACGGG